rnacentral:lncRNA from 1 species
UUUGUGUCUCCGCGGAGUGCAUGCCACCUCGGGGAAAAGAGCGAACCUGAGUUAGAACGAACGGGGAGAGAGAGACACUAGCGUGAGUUUUGUUAAUCUUUUAAAGCCUCCCGGUGAACCUAGAAACCCAAAAAUUAACUUGAACAGCAAAUGCUCUGGGGUUUAGAGAACGUUUGUUUCUUUGUCUUUUUCAUUGCCUCUUCCGUGCCAAAAAUUAUCUGUUCGCUGGAGAACACAUCCGGAAAGAGCUGUUUUCCCCUGUUCAUCCAGUGAGAAGAUGUGUUUUCUCUCUACCAGUUAGAUUUCUUCUUUUGUCGGAAAGAAGAGCAUCUGUCCUCCAGGCUGGGCUUUGUCUCCGUUUGCUCUGCAACCGCACUAGCGCAGCAAGGCUACAUAAGGAGGCUUUUCAGCAGAGGAGCCUGGUGUUGAGCUGGUGCCAUGGGGAAUGAAUUCUUCUAUAGACCCCUCGUCCUCUUCUGGAAGUUAAAGGGGGGCGAUUUGAAAAAAAA